rnacentral:rRNA from 1 species
CAGCACCUCAAGUGGUCAGGCUGAUUAUUGGGCCUAAAGCAUCCGUAGCCGGCUCUGUAAGUUUUCGGUUAAAUCUGUACGCUCAACGUACAGGCUGCCGGGAAUACUGCAGCGCUAGGGAGUGGGAGAGGUAGACGGUACUCGGUAGGAAGGGGUAAAAUCCUUUGAUCUAUUGAUGACCACCUGUGGCGAAGGCGGUCUACCAGAACACGUCCGACGGUGAGGGAUGAAAGCUGGGGGAGCAAACCGGAUUAGAUACCCGAGUAGUCC